UAAUACGGAGGGUGCAAACGUUGCUCGGAAUCAUUGGGCGUAAAGCGCACGUAGGCGGUCCGUUAAGUCGGAUGUGAAAGCCCUGGGCUCAACCCAGGAAGAGCAUUCGAAACUGGCGGACUAGAGUAUGGAAGAGGGUCGCGGAAUUCCCGGUGUAGAGGUGAAAUUCGUAGAUAUCGGGAGGAACACCAGUGGCGAAGGCGGCGACCUGGGCCAAUACUGACGCUGAGGUGCGAAAGCGUGGGGAGCAAACAGGA
rnacentral:rRNA from 1 species